CCUUAACUUCUGUGUCGGCCAUCUUGUUGCACUGACUUGACACAUCAGGAUUUCUGGGGAUGGAUGUCUUCCUCGUUGUCCAAUGGUCAGGAAACAGUCAUAUUCCCAUUACCCCUGUCCUGUCUGUACUUCUAGGCCUGCGUUGACACAACCAGAUGGAUUAGCAUCCUAAAUCUAAACUGUUUACAAAAUUCUUAUGAAUAAGCAGAUGCUUUAUUAAUGUGGACUUCUGAACCUGGGACCCGUCCCCUGGAAUGAUUGAUUAGAGAGUGUGGUGAGAAGUCGCACCGUGCAAGAGCGAUGGCAGCACCAAAACAUCUGGAGUUAGAAGAAACAGGACACAUAGGCGGCAUCUCACAGGACGCAUAGGCGGAAUCUCACAUGUCCCAACUGAGUUCCUGGAGAGACACUGAUUCAGAAGCGAGACAAGGUCUACUGUGAACUCCACAGCUCUGCAGUGGACUCGAGACCUGAGGAAAUGGAGUGUUUGUAUGCGGCUUUGCAUUCCAG
rnacentral:lncRNA from 1 species